rnacentral:rRNA from 1 species
CACACGACUCUCGGCAACGGAUAUCUCGGCUCUCGCAUCGAUGAAGAACGUAGCGAAAUGCGAUACCUGGUGUGAAUUGCAGAAUCCCGCGAACCAUCGAGUYUUUGAACGCAAGUUGCGCCCGAGGCCACUUGGCCGAGGGCACGCCUGCCUGGGAGUCACGC